AACAUCAGCUGUUGGACUCAGAAACCUGCUCCAUUUUCCUACAGAGAAAUACAGCAUCUCCCUGAGCAUCCCUGUGAAAGUUGAAUUUUGCUGAGGAGACAAGGUUGCCUCUGAUGGAGCAUGAAGCAUCACUGUAAGCUGCCAUUGCUAGGGAGGUGGUGUGCAGCGGCUGUGACCUCUGUCAGGACAGCUGGGAGACAGCGUCACCGGGGUGUGGCUGAACUUCUCCGGGAGAAGUAGACCUAACACAAACAGAGGCUCUGAACAACUCGGGAACUGGUACAAAGAAAACAAAACCCUCUGUACUUGGGGCCCUGGGUUGCACUCUACACCCAGGACAUUGUCCUUCCAGACUCUCAGCGAAAGUGACUGAAAAUCGCUUGUGAUAUGAAUGAGAAGGGACCCAUAGACUCAUGCAUUUGAAUGUUUGUGCUCCAGUUGGUGGAACAUCUUUGAGAAGGAUUAGGAGGGAUGGCGUGUCUGGUUAGUCAGGCCUAGUCAAAAUUUGCAUCCUUUUGCUCUCCAUGGAGGCCCAGUCAUGUCAUGAACGGAGCUGAUCCUGCCUAGUCAACACAUGGAGAAGGGCCUGGCUGCCCAGUGCCCUGCAAAGCCACAAACCACAGCAGUUCUCCAAACCAGAGUCAUCUGUAGUUUGAAUGGGAAGGUGUCUCCAUGGGCUCACACGUUUGAACACAUGAAGGCAGUAUAACUAUAGAGAAAGCUGAAUAACCACCAUUUUUGCUGCGGAAAUUUGGAGAGCGAUUAGGAAGUGGAGUCCCACUAAAGGCCACUGAGGGAGAGCCUUGGGAUUUUUAUGAUGUGGCCCCGGUUCCUAUUUAUUUUCUGCUUCCUAGGAUCCAGUCAUGUGACCAGCCAGCCUCCGACACUUGCCACUACAUUUUCCCUGCUUGCUGCUGUGUCUUCCUCACCGUGAUGGACUGCAUCCCUCUGUCACCGUAAGCCCAACAGACUUUGGCCUCUAUGAUAAUGCUUUUUCAUGGUAUUUUAUCUGGACAAGAAGAAAGUGGCUAAGAUGGCUGUUCUUAAGAAUGUUUUCUUGUAGUUAAGACACAUUUCCUCCUAGGAAGCUGUAGAUUGGAUGAGCCCAUCUAACCCAAGCUUUGGAGAAACCUAACAUCACUGACUGCUUACUCUCAGAGGAUGAAUCUUGGUCCCUUGCUUCAAAAUUAAAUAUACAAGUGUUAGCUAGAGGAAGAAAAGAAAUGUCAUAAAAAGCCAAAGCCUCAUGCUCUUAGGCAAACCUGUGACCCAUGGCUGCAGCAAACUUCUGGUGUUUCCUUACAUAUCUGGGCUAGAUCUGAUCACUACUACACCAACUCGUUAUUGGAAGAUGUUCACCUUUUUUGUGCCAUGGGGAUUUGAUUACAUGAUAUGAUUUUUACAGUA